AGUGUGCCGCUGCUUCACAGAAAAGGAUCUGAGGGAAACGUGCCACCGGCCAAGGAAGGCCUCAGAGAGGAGGUGACAGGCCUGGGGAGAGGAGGAGGGAGAGCAAACAGUUGAGGUUUCAGAAGUAGAGAGCGGAGAUAAGAAAAGAUAAGACAGGAUAAGAGAGGUGCCUGGGACAGAGCCCAGGCUCUUAUUGAGCAGGCAGGGAUGGGGUGGGGUGCAGUUAACACUCUCAGCACUCUUUCCUUCUCAGCAUCUCUGGAACAGUCUGCAGCUCUGGGUUACCCUCUGCUAACAAGGCAGCCUUCCCAGCAUCCCCCAGCCCCAUCUGCCUUUGCAACUCCCCUGUGCAAAGUGGUCUCAGCACUAAUCGUCCUGGCGCUCCCAACAGGCACAGUUUGCCAAGGUGUACCAUAUAACCACGGCAGGCACUCUUCACGUGUUCCCUUUUGCCUGCCAGGAAAUACCGAGGAAACACAAAGUGAAAAGGCGAGCUCUUCGUUCAAAAACCAAGACCUUCAAGACAUCACAUGCAGACACAUCAGAACCUACAAACAAAUCAUUCCAUCAUGAGAUAGCCUAAGUAGGAGCAAUCAUCUCAUGGGGAACAAGACUGCUCCCUUAGCAAGAAGGACUUCUUUGGGCCACAUGGCUGAAUCAGACUGUAGAGAAUGAGUAACUGGAACACUCUUGGACCAAGAUGGCUUACUUAUAUGUGCUUCUCAUCACUGCCUCAAUUCUUCCUCUAUUUAAUGUUAAAACUCAUGCCAGGACCAUGAAGGUGGGCUCCAGUGUUUUGUGCCUCUCUAAACAACUGUUUUGAUAAAAUAUUUUCUUGCCUCUCA